rnacentral:rRNA from 1 species
GACGAACGCUGGCGGCGUGCUUAACACAUGCAAGUCGAACGGUAAGGCCCUUCGGGGUACACGAGUGGCGAACGGGUGAGUAACACGUGGGUGAUCUGCCCUGCACUUCGGGAUAAGCCUGGGAAACUGGGUCUAAUACCGGAUAGGACCACUGCCUGCAUGGGUGGGUGUGGAAAGCUUUUGCGGUGUGGGAUGGGCCCGCGGCCUAUCAGCUUGUUGGUGGGGUGAUGGCCUACCAAGGCGACGACGGGUAGCCGGCCUGAGAGGGUGACCGGCCACACUGGGACUGAGAUACGGCCCAGACUCCUACGGGAGGCAGCAGUGGGGAAUAUUGCACAAUGGGCGCAAGCCUGAUGCAGCGACGCCGCGUGAGGGAUGACGGCCUUCGGGUUGUAAACCUCUUUCAGCACCGACGAAGCGCAAGUGACGGUAGGUGCAGAAGAAGGACCGGCCAACUACGUGCCAGCAGCCGCCGUAA